CAAUAGCGUAUAUUAAAGUUGUUGCAGUUAAAAAGCUCGUAGUUGGAUUUCUGGUUGAAGCGACCGGUCGGGCGUUGAUUCGUCUGCACUGGAGUCGGUUUUGGCCAUCCUCUAGGAAAAUGCGUCUGGUAUUAAGUUAUCGGGCGUAUGAUCCUGGUCUUUUACUGUGAAAAAAUUAGAGUGUUUAAAGCAGGCCUUCGCCUUGAAUACAUUAGCAUGGAAUAAUAAGAUAGGACUUUGGUCUAUUUUGUUGGUUUGCAGACCGAAGUAAUGAUUAAUAGGGAUAGUUGGGGGUAUUUAUAUUCCGAUGUCAGAGGUGAAAUUCUUAGAUUUUCGGAAGAUAAACUUAUGCGAAAGCAUUUACCAAGGAUGUUUUCAUUAA
rnacentral:rRNA from 1 species